AUUGAACGCUGGCGGCAUGCCUUACACAUGCAAGUCGAACGGCAGCACGGGAGCAAUCCUGGUGGCGAGUGGCGAACGGGUGAGUAAUAUAUCGGAACGUGCCCGGUCGUGGGGAUAACGUAGCGAAAGCUACGCUAAUACCGCAUACGAUCUACGGAUGAAAGCGGGGGAUCGCAAGACCUCGCGCGAUUGGAGCGGCCGAUAUCAGAUUAGGUAGUUGGUGAGGUAAAGGCUCACCAAGCCGACGAUCUGUAGCUGGUCUGAGAGGACGACCAGCCACACUGGGACUGAGACACGGCCCAGACUCCUACGGGAGGCAGCAGUGGGAAUUUUGGACAAUGGGCGCAAGCCUGAUCCAGCAAUGCCGCGUGCAGGAUGAA
rnacentral:rRNA from 1 species